UUCCAAUCGAACCCGGAGAUAGCUGGUUCUCCUCGAAAUAGCUUUAGGGCUAGCCUCGAUACAGAUUUGCGGAGGUAGAGCACUGAAUUUCCUAGGGGGCGUCAAAGCCUACCGAAGAAUAUCAAACUCCGAAUGCCGCGUAAUCGAUUAUCGGGAGUCAGACUGCACGAGAUAAGUUGGGCGGUCAAAAGGGAAAGAGCCCAGACCUUCAGUUAAGGUCCCCAAGUGCGCGUUAAGUGGAAAAGGAUGUGGGAUUUCGAAGACAACCAGGAUGUUGGCUCAGAAGCAGCCAUCCAUUCAAAGAGUGCGUAAUAGCUCACUGGUCGAGAGGUCCUGCGCCGAAAAUGUCCGGGGCUGAAACGCGCCACCGAAACUAAGGAACCGAAAGGUUGGUAGAGGAGCAUUGCAUGCGGGAAGAAGCAGUACCGUAAGGAGCUGUGGACUGCAUGGAAGAGAGAAUGCCGGAAUGAGUAGCGAGAAUAAGGUGGGAAUCCUUAUGGCCGAAUAUCCAAGGUUUCCAGAGUAAAGCUGAUCUGCUCUGGGUAAGUCGGGGCCUAAGGUAAGGCUGAGAAGCGUAGCCGAUGGACAACAGGUUGAGAUUCCUGUACCGCGUAUCAUCAGAACUGUGGGGACACAGAAGGACAGCACAUCCCGGGAAUGGAAAGACCGGGGCAAGCAGGGUAGGAGUUAAGCUGGCAAAUCCGCUUAACAAUCCGAAGCUGUGAUGCGGAGCGAAUUUAAGUAGUGAAGUGUGCGAUUCCGGCUGUCAAGAAAAGCCGCUAUUGUGUGAUACGUGCCCGUACCGUAAACCGACACAGGUAGAUGAGGAGAGAAUCCUAAGGCCGGCGGGAGAAGCAUUGUUAAGGAACUCGGCAAAAUGACCCUGUAACUUCGGGAGAAAGGGUGCCUGGGAAACCAGGCCGCAGAGAAUAGGCUCAAGCAACUGUUUAGCAAAAACACAGGUCUAUGCGAAACCGAAAGGUGAGGUAUAUGGGCUGACGCCUGCCCGGUGCUGGAAGGUUAAGAGGAGAGGUUAGCGGUAACGCGAAGCUUUGAAUUUAAGCCCCAGUAAACGGCGGCCGUAACUAUAACGGUCCUAAGGUAGCGAAAUUCCUUGUCGGGUAAGUUCCGACCUGCACGAAUGGCGUA
rnacentral:rRNA from 1 species